UGGGGAAUAUUGCACAAUGGGCGCAAGCCUGAUGCAGCCAUGCCGCGUGUAUGAAGAAGGCCUUCGGGUUGUAAAGUACUUUCAGUCGGGAGGAAGGGAGUAAAGUUAAUACCUUUGCUCAUUGACGUUACCCGCAGAAGAAGCACCGGCUAACUCCGUGCCAGCAGCCGCGGUAAUACGGAGGGUGCAAGCGUUAAUCGGAAUUACUGGGCGUAAAGCGCACGCAGGCGGUUUGUUAAGUCAGAUGUGAAAUCCCCGGGCUCAACCUGGGAACUGCAUCUGAUACUGGAAAGCUUGAGUCUCGUAGAGGAGGGUAGAAUUCCAGGUGUAGCGGUGAAAUGCGUAGAGAUCUGGAGGAAUACCGGUGGCGAAGGCGGCCCCCUGGACGAAGACUGACGCUCAGGUGCGAAAGCGUGGGGAGCAAACAGG
rnacentral:rRNA from 1 species